rnacentral:rRNA from 1 species
AUUGAACGCUGGCGGCAGGCCUAACACAUGCAAGUCGAGCGGGGUUUUCGGACCUAGCGGCGGACGGGUGAGUAAUGCGUAGGAAGCUGCCCGAUAGAGGGGGAUACCAGUUGGAAACGACUGUUAAUACCGCAUAAUGUCUACGGACCAAAGUGUGGGACCUUCGAGCCACAUGCUGUCGGAUGCGCCUACGUGGGAUUAGCUCGUUGGUGAGGUAAUGGCUCACCAAGGCGACGAUCUCUAGCUGAUUUGAGAGGAUGAUCAGCCACACUGGAACUGAGACACGGUCCGGACUCCUACGGGAGGCAGCAGUGGGGAAUAUUGGACAAUGGGCGCAAGCCUGAUCCAGCCAUGCAGCGUGUGUGAAGAAGGCCUUCGGGUUGUAAAGCACUUUCAGCGAGGAGGAAGGGUGGUGUGUUAAUAGCACAUCAUUUUGACGUUACUCGCAGAAGAAGCACCGGCUAACUCUGUGCCAGCCGCCGCGGUAACAC